rnacentral:lncRNA from 1 species
GAUACAGAAUGAACUGUUAAUUUGCAUAUAAUAUACAAUUUGUUUAAUUAUGCUCUUGACAGCUGAAAAAAUUUGAAUCAUAAGAAACAAUACAUAGUGAUUUUCUGGCCAUAGAAAAUGAAACGUAUUUAGACCAUUAUGUUAUAAAAGCAACUUACUCGAAUCAAAAAAUCUGCUAGGUUUCCUUAGUUUUAUGAUUUCUUAAAUGUUUCGUUUAAGAUAGAUAAUUUGAAAAGCUCCUACGAAAGUUUUAAAAAGAAUUUCUAAGGUGUUUAAGGAGAACUUUAUUAAAUUUUGUUCAAUGGUAAAAUGAUAAAAUUACUCUCCAAUGCUAGGCAAUGGAUCAGUUUGAUCACCCUCUUGGUUGCUAGAUUGAAUCUUCAAACGAAAAUUUCAUUUAACUUGGUAGUUUUUUUUUCGUAUGUUGUAAAAUAAAUCUUGAAUUAAAAAACAAUCUGCUUGAUAAAAUAUUCUGUUAGCAGAUAAAUUUUUUUUUUCUGUCUUCCAACCAAAAUAGUUUAGUGCGCUAACUACAGGAAAUCUGUUCUUUGCAUACAAUAAUAUUUCAAACUGAAUCUCUUUUUAAAGAGAAAUAUCAUUUUGACAGCAUUCAUUCACUAAUAUAAGUGGUUUACGGACUAUUAAUUAUAGUUUAUGUUUAAUUGCAGCUUGACCAUUGCUGAACGGAGAAUUUCGCAGUUUGGAAGGAACUAUUAACCUUUUCUUGACUAACAGACUCAAGCAGAAAUGAAUUCUGACUGUAAGGACAUCGCAUUAAGAUUUAUACAUCAGUUCUAUUGGAAUCUUCACCUAUGCUUUACUUCGUGAAACUGAGCCUCUGAUGCAAAGAGAAAAAUCUUCUACUAGAAUCUGCACAAAAUGGUUUACUGCAUGAAAAUGAGUAGCAGAUGUAACGAGUUGGAACAGGACUCUAUACAGGUCAAGAACUCUUUUUAAUUUUGUGGAAUUGUUUUAGUUUGUACACUUCACAUUAAUUGCCUACACAUUGUACUAGACUGAUACAGAUAUUUCAGAUCUUUAAUGUUGCUUUCCUUUUUUUAAGUCUAUCCUUACACGAAAUUUUAACUGUAAGUAAGAUGUUGAACGUUUUAUGUAGUCAUCAAAAAAAUUGUAAGAUUUUAACUCUUAGAUAUUUUACUGUCUAUUUCAAGUUAUCAUUCAGACUAGUCUGAUUGGAAACAUCGGGCGAUCACUUAGUCUUUGGAAAUUCUUACCUAACUGUUAAUUUUGCCCAACUUAUCUAAAUUUAGAUUGACUCAAUAAUUAGAAGCAACUAGUAUUCUUAUUGUAAGAAAGUGUUUAAAAUUCAACUCUUUCAAACUAAACACAUUCGUUGUAACUCUUUAUUCGCGUGUUUUUAAAGAGAUUCAACUUUAAGAUAAAAGGGAGAAAUUCCUAAAACUAAUUUCUAAAUUUUUCCCUGGUUCCAUUUUAUAAACUUUUUGUCUUACGUUUUUGCAAAACGUAUACAAAAUUCAGUAUAGUUAAGUAAUUUUUGAAUUCGACGGAAAAACAAAAUAAACAAAAUUCGACGGAAAACAGAUUUUCUUAAUGUAGUGAAUGUUAUUUAAUAACUAACGAAAUUUAAGAUUGUAAUCUGACUUUUCGUUUCAAACAAUUUUCUAAGAAUAAAAUCUGAAAUAAAACGGGUUAAAAUCUCUCUUGAGAAUUGUAUUUAAUAAUUCGCAAGUAUCUGAUUUUGAGUAUUUCAAACUAAGCUCUUAAAAUCACAUCGUUUGAUACGAAAUUUAUGGAAAAAAUCUCUAAACAGUUAUAUGGCAUUGAUAAAACAUACAAUUUGUUUACUUUCAUGUUAAACUUGAUUUUUAGUUAUGAAAAAUAAAUGGACUUUCUUAAUUUAGCUGUAAACCAUUUUUUAAAGUUCCUCCUAGCGCAGAAGGGAUGGAGACUAUACGAAUGGAGGAACCUAAAAACGAUUUUUGUUUCAAACUUAAUUAGAUAAUUAAACAUUUUUAAUAGUCUAUAUUUGCAUUAAAAUAAGUUAAUAAAAGCAAUUCUAAUAUAAGCACUUAAGGGUUCUUCGUGUUUUGAGCUUAAAUCCAAUGAUUUUAUAGUGUUGUGGUGUAAUUGCAGUUGAAAGUAAAAUUUAAUAAAACAAAUUGCCAACAAAAUGCGCACUUCGCUCAGGAAUUUUCAACGUAAUUUUAAACUAAAAUAAAUAAAAGAAUUAUUUUAGCAAGUAGCUAAUUUUGCCAAGGUAAUGCGCUAUUCAGUCUAGUUAAAGUACUUAACGUAAAUUAAAGAUAAAUUUUAAGUCUAUGACAAAUUUAUGAGUUUUAAUGAUACUUAUUCGCUGCUGAAGUAGCAAAAUAAUGACUAACUGUUCAGUUAAAACAGAAUAAUGACUAACUAUUCAGUAAUCACGUAACACACCUUAACAUUAACCAUAACACUAAUUCGCUGCUUCAGUGGUAGAAUAAGUAUAAGAGUAAACUCCUUUUUUGAAUAAAAGUAAACUUAUAAUUGGGAUUGGGCUCAAUAGAAACUGUGUUGAAAAGUUAGUAAAUUAACCGGGCGAUUUUAUUUAAAAAAAUCUGAAUGAUGAAGUCUUUGUAGGAAUUUUGUUACAAAAGUCACAGUGAGUUCUUCAAAGUAAAAACUAAUUUACUAAUGACUAUGAAAAGGAUCUUUUAGUUGCAAUUUUCGUAAACUGAAAAUAACUUACAAAUUGCGUUUAUAACAUUUGAGAUCACUUACAGCAAACUUCACUCAAACCGUAAGCCUAAAUUCCAUUUUACAGAGAAUCAGAUUGGCAUUUCGUUCUAGCCCUACUUUAAUGUUAAAAACGAAACUAGUAGAAAAUUAAGCUAAUGAAAUUUUAUAUGUAGAAGAAUUAUUUUUUAUAUUUGAAAAAUUACUUUAAAUAGAAAGUAAAUAUAAAAAGAUGUUUUCAAUCUCUUGUAUUUCAAUGUCUUGUAUUUGCUUGAAACAUUUUCAAACUUCAGUAAUGCAAAAGUUGCUCAAUUAACGUAUCGUCUUGCGUUUGUAGCCCAGCACAUCUCAUAAUACAAGCCUUCGAGCUAUACAAAGCUAUUUGUAACUAAAGGAAAGACCCAGCGCAUAUGCAGAAUAUUUUUAAUUCAAAAAAUUAAAUGAAAUUUGAUCAUAAACAUUAAAAGUUUAUACAAUUUCCAGUUUAACAAAUUUUAACUAGAGUAGGCGAACCUUCUUAUAAAAUCAAAAGGCUUGAAGUAAUUUCUGAAAAUUUACAUGAUAUUUUAUUACUUCAGGAAAUUAAAUUCCUACACAGGUUUCCUCUAAAGUAGUUUUAAAAUGUUUACCUGAAGUGUUUUUUAGUUAUAAUAGGUCAGCAGUGCUAUUUUGUGAGAGGUCAGACUCUAAAGUACAUAAUACAAUAAUUCAUAGUUUGAUUUACAAAAUUAAGAGUUCAAGUUCUAAGGAGAAAAAAAGGAUUAAAUUUUUUGCUUUAAUAUUACUUUUAAACACUUAUUUCGGCGGAGAUAGUUUAGAGAUUUUUAAAUUUCAAUCUUAAGCUAUUGAGUCUUUUCUAAUCUUUUUCAGAAGAGCUUUUUAAC